GCCUGGGUGGCUCAGUGGUUGAGCGUCUGCCUUCGGCUCAGGGUGUGAUCCCAGGAUCCGGGAUCGAGUCCCGCGUCAGGCU
rnacentral:tRNA from 1 species